rnacentral:piRNA from 1 species
UAAGCUACUGUAUGAAAAAUACCACUUUUG